rnacentral:rRNA from 1 species
AGCCGCGGUAAUACGUAGGGUACUAGCGUUGUCCGGAUUUAUUGGGCGUAAAGGGCUUGUAGGUGGUUUGUCGCGUCUGUCGUGAAAUCCUGUGGCUUAACCAUGGGCUUGCGGUGGGUACGGGCAGGCUUGAGUGCGGUAGGGGAGACUGGAAUUCCUGGUGUAGCGGUGGAAUGCGCAGAUAUCAGGAGGAACACCGGUGGCGAAGGCGGGUCUCUGGGCCGUUACUGACGCUGAGGAGCGAAAGCGUGGGGAGCGAACAGGAUUAGAUACCCUGGUAGUCCAUGCUGUAAACGUUGGGCACUAGGUGUGGGGAUCGUUGUGGUUUCUGCGCCGUAGCUAACGCAUUAAGUGUCCCGCCUGGGGAGUACGGCCGCAAGGCUAAAACUCAAAGGAAUUGACGGGGACCCGCACAAGCGGCGGAGCAUGCGGAUUAAUUCGAUGCAACGCGAAGAACCUUACCAAGGCUUGACAUGCACCGGUACAGUGUAGAGAUAUGCUGGCCUUUUGGGCUGGUGUGCAGGUGGUGCAUGGCC